CCAAUAGCUGGAAAGGGGGUACCAUGGGGGAAGAAGGGGGCCGCCGGUCUGGGAAGGCUCCCUGGAGGCGGCAGCCUCUUCCUUGGGCUGGGUGCUGCUCCCACUUGGCGAGACUGGCCCCCGAGGGGCCUCGAAGCUCAGCGGGCCCCAUCCCAUCGGUCUACCCCGCCGCAGGGGCGCCAGAAGGGGCCCCGGGGCCCGGCCCCCGGAGCCUUCGGCCGCUUCGCGCUCCAGCUGCUCGAGCAGAGCCUGCGGGACGAGGAGCUGCGCGCGCAGCACCGGGCCGCGCUGCUGCGCCUGCGCGAGAAGGCUCUGGAGGAGAAGGCGCGCGCGGAGCUGGCCUGGCUGGAGCAGCGGCGGCGAGGGUGUCUGAGUGGCAACGGCAGCUACACAGCGCUGCUGGCCUUGGCAGGAAGGCAGCACCAGGCCCUGAGCAACCUCGAGCAGGAGCAGGUAAGGACCGGCUCCCCUGGGCCGACCCCGGGGGGUCCUGCUGCCCUUCCGGGGCUGGGGACCUGAGCGUCCCGCUCCACAGCUGGACGGUUCUUGGGUGUUCAGCCCCCGCCAGGGCCGCUCAGGCAGCGUCCCGCGCUGGAGGGGCAGCGUGGCCUGGGCGGAGUGCGGCCCUGUCCCCGCGACUCCCGUGGCCUCUGCACAGUGGCUGGGUCCCUGGGAGCCUCGUUCUGCAGCGGUGUGUGUCUUGUGGGGCUGCAGGAGGGCUUAGCACAGCCAGCACUCAGCAAGCUGCAUGGACACGGCCGCAGCGGGGCUCCCAGCUGCUUGGAGCCCAGCUCCCUCGUCUGGAAAAUGGGGUGGGGCCAUUUCGCUGGGGCCCUUUCAUUUUGGUCGCCCGACUGCGGGGGGUCGUGCUGUGGCGAUGCUCUUUAUACAGAUGAAGGGACUGGGGGCAGAGGCGGGGGCUCGCCCAGCUGGCAGGUGAGGGUGGUGGUGGGCUUGGGGUUCGAAGCGAGCCGAGGCUCCUGACCUCCAUCCUGGGGAGCCUGUGUGGACCAGGGGUGGGUGGCGGGCGUGGGGCACUCCAAGCAGAGGGGCAGCAGGAGGAGGCCCAGACACGGUCUGCAGGGCACAUGCCAGCCACAGAGCCAGGAGGAGGGCUCCCAAGGCCCCAGUUACCAAAUGGCCCGAAGUGGUGAACCUGGGACCCCGUGUUGGGCGUGGAGACAUGGGUGGAGUUGGGGUCUGGCCUGUGACUACGGGGGAGGGACCCAGCCCUGUGAGCCUCAGUCCCCCCCUGAGCUGUACAGGCAGCCACUCCCCCGGGGUGCACUCCUGACCUGGUGGCUCUGCCGAGGGCGUGCCAUCAGAGACGCAGUAGGGAACAGAGGACAGUUGGGGACAGUUUCACAAACGGACAGAGCCCAGAACCCGGAGAGAAGGAGGACGUGUGUGGAUGGCAGGGGUGUAGCCAGCCUGGGCCAGCCUCGCCUGGGGGCGCCUGGGAAACUGGCACCCCACCUUCCCUCCUGCUGGAGCCUCCUGUCAGCCAAAGCCAAGGGCGUUAAAGUGCGUGGGGGCCUCCUGGCAGAGAGGUUGAGCAGGGCAGGGCAUCUGGGGGGCCGAGGGAGGGUCCCUGCUCGGCCCCCGAGCCGGCUCCUCCUAAACACCCCCCAUUCAUCGUGUGCCGGGCUGGGGCCUCCCUGAGGUCCUCUCCUCUGGCCGGUUCAGAGGGAGAUCCGACGCCUGCGGAAGCAGCACCUGCUCGCGCACCAGGAGAGGAAGCUGCUCCUGCAGCAUCAGAAGGACGCCCUGUCCAUGCAGAGGUCCACCGCCCUCUCGCAGCAGGAGCCUCGGGCCCAGACCGGGCUGCUCCAGGUGGGCGCUCUCUCCUGGCCUGGGGGCUCACCGUCACCGGGCGGCUUUGUGGGAACGUGCAAG
rnacentral:lncRNA from 1 species